GCAUAUCAAUAAGCGGAGGAAAAAGAAAAAUAACAAUGAUUUCCCUAGUAACGGCGAGUGAAGAGGAAAGAGCUCAAAGUUGGAAACUGUUUGGCUUAGCUAAACCGUAUUGUAAACUGUAGAAACAUUUUCCUGGCACACCAGAUUAAUAAGUCCUUUGGAACAAGGCAUCAUGGAGGGUGAGAAUCCCGUCUUUGAUCUGAGUAGUUGUCUUUUGUGAUAUGUUUUCAAAGAGUCAGGUUGUUUGGGAAUGCAGCCUAAAUUGGGUGGUAAAUCUCACCUAAAGCUAAAUAUUUGCGAGAGACCGAUAGCGAACAAGUACCGUGAGGGAAAGAUGAAAAGAACUUUGAAAAGAGAGUUAAACAGUAUGUGAAAUUGUUAAAAGGGAACCGUUUGGAGCCAGACUGGUUUGUCUGUAAUCAACCUAGAAUUCGUUUUGGGUGCACUUGCAGACUAUACCUGCCAACAACAGUUUGAUUUGGAGGAAAAAAUUAAUAGGAAUGUAGCCUCUCGAGGUGUUAUAGACUAUUAUCAUACUCUGGAUUGGACUGAGGAACGCAGCGAAUGCCUUUAGGCAAGAUUGCUGGGUGCUUUCGCUAAUAAAUGUUAGAAUUUCUGCUUCGGGUGGUGCUAACGUUUAAAGGAGGAACACAUCUAGUAUAUUUUUUAUUCGCUUAGGUUGUUGGCUUAAUGACUCUAAAUGACCCGUCUUGAAACACGGACCAAGGAGUCCACCAUAAGUGCAAGUAUUUGAGUGACAAACUCAUAUGCGUAAGGAAACUGAUUGAUACGAAGUCUUUUGAUGGCAGUAUCACCCGGCGUCGACGUUUUAACUGAAAUGACCGAGGUAAAGCACUUAUGAUGGGACCCGAAAGAUGGUGAACUAUGCCUGAAUAGGGUGAAGCCAGAGGAAACUCUGGUGGAGGCUCGUAGCGAUUCUGACGUGCAAAUCGAUCGUCAAAUUUGGGUAUAGGGGCGAAAGACUAAUCGAACCAUCUAGUAGCUGGUUCCUGCCGA
rnacentral:rRNA from 1 species